rnacentral:rRNA from 1 species
AUUGAACGCUGGCGGCAGGCCUAACACAUGCAAGUCGAACGGUAACAGGAAGAAGCUUGCUUCUUUGCUGACGAGUGGCGGACGGGUGAGUAAUGUCUGGGAAACUGCCUGAUGGAGGGGGAUAACUACUGGAAACGGUAGCUAAUACCGCAUAACGUCGCAAGACCAAAGAGGGGGACCUUCGGGCCUCUUGCCAUCGGAUGUGCCCAGAUGGGAUUAGCUAGUAGGUGGGGUAACGGCUCACCUAGGCGACGAUCCCUAGCUGGUCUGAGAGGAUGACCAGCCACACUGGAACUGAGACACGGUCCAGACUCCUACGGGAGGCAGCAGUGGGGAAUAUUGCACAAUGGGCGCAAGCCUGAUGCAGCCAUGCCGCGUGUAUGAAGAAGGCCUUCGGGUUGUAAAGUACUUUCAGCGGGGAGGAAGGAAGUAAAGUUAAUACCUGUGCUCAUUGACGUUACCCGCAGAAGAAGCACCGGCUAACUCCGUG